CACAGGCUUUUUUGCCGCUCUUGCCAAGUGGCUCUGUAGCUACAGUGCUGGGUUUGGAAGUCAUGACAAACCACCCUCAGAACAAGCUAUACUCAAGCAGCCAAGUAACACCGAGGUUGCUUCUGCAUCAGUGGGCAGCCCAUCCUGAGAUAACUGGUUCCAUCUGCUGGUGACAGAAAAGAAGUACAUGGAAAAAAAUGUGCAGCCAACGAAGUAUAAGAAAUUUGCAGACUGGAUUGUGAACGCAACCACAUUUUUGUGCAAAGGCACAUAAAUCUCUUUGAUGAGCUGUUCAGGAUUUGAAGCUGAGAAUAUUGGAAAUAAAAAUAUUUGGGAGAUGG